GGGACACGUGGUAUCCUGUCUGAAUAUGGGGGGACCAUCCUCCAAGGCUAAAUACUCCUGACUGACCGAUAGUGAACCAGUACCGUGAGGGAAAGGCGAAAAGAACCCCGGCGAGGGGAGUGAAAAAGAACCUGAAACCGUGUACGUACAAGCAGUGGGAGCACCUUCGGGUGUGACUGCGUACCUUUUGUAUAAUGGGUCAGCGACUUAUAUUCUGUAGCAAGGUUAACCGUAUAGGGGAGCCGCAGGGAAACCGAGUCUUAACUGGGCGUUAAGUUGCAGGGUAUAGACCCGAAACCCGGUGAUCUAGCCAUGGGCAGGUUGAAGGUUGGGUAACACUAACUGGAGGACCGAACCGACUAAUGUUGAAAAAUUAGCGGAUGACUUGUGGCUGGGGGUGAAAGGCCAAUCAAACCGGGAGAUAGCUGGUUCUCCCCGAAAGCUAUUUAGGUAGCGCCUCGUGAACUCAUCUUCGGGGGUAGAGCACUGUUUCGGCUAGGGGGUCAUCCCGACUUACCAACCCGAUGCAAACUACGAAUACCGAAGAAUGUUAUCACGGGAGACACACGGCGGGUGCUAACGUCCGUCGUGAAGAGGGAAACAACCCAGACCGCCAGCUAAGGUCCCAAAGUCAUGGUUAAGUGGGAAACGAUGUGGGAAGGCACAGACAGCCAGGAUGUUGGCUUAGAAGCAGCCAUCAUUUAAAGAAAGCGUAAUAGCUCACUGGUCGAGUCGGCCUGCGCGGAAGAUGUAACGGGGCUAAACCAUGCACCGAAGCUGCGGCAGCGACACUAUGUGUUGUUGGGUAGGGGAGCGUUCUGUAAGCCUGCGAAGGUGACCUGUGAGGGUUGCUGGAGGUAUCAGAAGUGCGAAUGCUGACAUAAGUAACGAUAAAGCGGGUGAAAAGCCCGCUCGCCGGAAGACCAAGGGUUCCUGUCCAACGUUAAUCGGGGCAGGGUGAGUCGACCCCUAAGGCGAGGCCGAAAGGCGUAGUCGAUGGGAAACAGGUUAAUAUUCCUGUACUUGGUGUUACUGCGAAGGGGGGACGGAGAAGGCUAUGUUAGCCGGGCGACGGUUGUCCCGGUUUAAGCAUGUAGGCUGGUUGUCCAGGCAAAUCCGGAUAAUCAAGGCUGAGGUGUGAUGACGAGGUACUACGGUGCUGAAGUAACAAAUGCCCUGCUUCCAGGAAAAGCCUCUAAGCAUCAGGUAACAUCAAAUCGUACCCCAAACCGACACAGGUGGUCAGGUAGAGAAUACCAAGGCGCUUGAGAGAACUCGGGUGAAGGAACUAGGCAAAAUGGUGCCGUAACUUCGGGAGA
rnacentral:rRNA from 1 species